rnacentral:piRNA from 1 species
AACAUUCAGGAGGUUGAGACAGGAGGAUU